GGAGCUGUAGCUCAGCUGGUUAGAGCACCUGCCUCUUAAGCAGGGUGUCGAGGGUUCAAGCCCCUCCAGCUCCUCCA
rnacentral:tRNA from 1 species